ensembl:lincRNA 1700047G03Rik RIKEN cDNA 1700047G03 gene
UGACCAUUCAUUGACCUCUGUGCGCUGGGCUUACCACACAUACUGUGGUCUGAAUCUGACUCAUGAGAGCCCAGGCUGGACCCUCUCACAGCUGACCUACACUACAGAAGGCCAGUAGCAAGUUCAGAUCAGCCAUGCUCACACUACACGCUAUCGUGCUGUCAAGUGGGAUACUUGGUACUUGAAGACCUCGUGGAUCAGCUGAAGGGCCAGAAAUCAAGUACAUCAAGAAGUCUGAGUCUGGUGCCAUGGUUCCCUCGGCUUUCUGUCCAUUCCUAAUUGUGACUGUUGCUUGCCGUCAUGCCUCUCUCCUCCAGCAUGGACUCUAACCCUCUAGAAACUUCAUA